AUAAAAUUGAUGACGAGAAGAGUAAGAUGAGUGCCCUGUUCUACAGAGAGUCGGUAAAUGGUGCAAGCCGAUGUUCAGAACUGAUCCGAAAAUCAUCUCCGAGAUGCAAUGCUGAAAUGAUUCAGUAAGUAUUGCCGGGUUGUCCGCCGUUAAAAGGAACGCGUAUGAUUGUACGUUGAUUGAGUGCCGUAUAAGUGGAUUUUUCUAUCCACGAGCGGAACUAGGGUGGUAUCGCGAGCUAAACUCGUCCCUAUU
rnacentral:ncRNA from 1 species